rnacentral:tRNA from 1 species
GAUUUCAUUAGUGAGAAUACGGCCUGGUAAGCCGUUUAGGUCGGUUCGACUCCGAUCCUCGCCUCCA